GCGCACGCGGCUGGGCGGGCAGCGGGGGAAGCCCGCCGCGGGAGGGGGCUCGGUCCGGAUGGAGACGCGAGGACGCCGCCGCUGCGGGCGCACGGGCGGGGGGAGCUGCGGCCGCUGACUGUUGACAGUCUGUCCACGUCGAGGAGUGAGCUCUGGGCGCCGCGCGUCGGAGAAGGCACUCUUGUGAGAAUCCUCCACCUUCCUUUGGGUUCUGGGAAGCCAGGGCUCUGUGCGACCCAGCUGCCAACUCGGGCUAUGGUGCAAUCUGCUACCCGAACGCCUUCCGGAGCUGUGGGUUCCUCUGGGCGUGGGGAAACUGCCCUCUACAGACUCCCCUGUUGUCUCCUUGCCUCCUGGAGGGCAGGGCACACCCCCAACCCUGCGGCCUCACCCACAGGAAGUGCUGGGGUUGGGGGACAAGCGAUGGGGGAGGUGCUACACUGGGCGUCCCGCCCUAAGCCUGUGGCCCCACUGACCCAGCUGCACCACAGCCCUUUUGUCAACAGCUCCUGAGACAUCACUAGGACGUGGGGCCCGCGGCCACAACCAUGUUUGGCAGGAAACGCAGCGUCUCCUUUGGGGGCUUUGGAUGGAUCGACAAGACCAUGCUGGCGAGCCUAAAGGUCAAGUAAGUAGCCAUUUCCCAUUGUGUGCCA